UCCAGACUCCUACGGGAGGCAGCAGUGGGGGAUAUUGCACAAUGGGGGGAACCCUGAUGCAGCGACGCCGCGUGGGUGAAGGAGUGCUUCGGCAUGUAAAGCCCUAUCGGCAGGGAAGAAGCAAGACGGUACCUGACUAAGAAGCCCCGGCUAACUACGUGCCAGCAGCCGCGGUAAUACGUAGGGGGCGGGCGUUAUCUGGAUUCACUGGGGGUAAAGGGAGCGUAGACGGCCGUGCAAGCCAGGGGUGAAAGCCCGGGGCCCAACCCCGGGACUGCCCUUGGAACUGUGCGGCUAGAGUGCGGGAGGGGCAGGCGGAAUUCCUGGUGUAGCGGUGAAAUGCGUAGAUAUCACGCAGAACUCCGAUCGCGAAGGCAGCCUACCGGCGCGCAACUGACGCUCAUGCACGAAAGCGUGGGUAUCGAACAGGAUUAGAUACCCUGGUAAAA
rnacentral:rRNA from 1 species